rnacentral:tRNA from 1 species
UGGAAUUUAGCUUAGUAGGCACAAGUGCCUGCCUGGCAAGCACAAAGUUGGGGGUUCAAUCCCCAGGACCAA